CUCAGAGUCCGCUUCCCAGACGUUACUACAGCGACUGAGCAAAGACUGGCGGAUCUCUCGCGUCUGACCGUCCCCUGUCAGGAAAUGACGCAACCUCAUGCAGCCAAUUAGUAGGUGGAUUUAUGGGACGGCUGUUCUGGCUGGGCCCACCUGCUCUGUUUCCCAGGGUUCAGCCGUCACUUCUGUCUCUCAUCCUCUCAUCAGCGAGAAGCAUUUAAAGACCUGCUUGUGCCUUCAUUCUCCAGAUUGUUGUCAUUUCGAUGGUGGUAAUUGGCUCCCUAAUGCUCAGAGCUCAUUUUUGCUUUGUGCCCUGUUUCACCUUCCUCUUGUCUGUUUCCAGUGAUUCCUGGUGGCUGAAGUUUCCUCUUUGUCAUUCCUGCAUUGCUGUGGGUAUUCCUGAGUGCAACCCCGCAGGCACUUCAACCUGUGAUCACAAGUUGGCUACCAGCUACCUAGGGAAUACUCACCUGUAACUUAGUUGUCUGCCCCACUCUUCACUGCUCUACCCCCUCCUCCCUGGACUCUUCCAGCCAGUGUCUGCUGUCUGCUGACCAAGAUAACUGGCUCCACUUCAUUCUGAAAUUAAUAUUGCCUUUGAAACACUUACCUCUCGCUGAGUCUAAGUCGUGUUUUUGUUUUGUUUUUUUCUGGCAGUGAUUUCCCGCCAUGUUCCUGCAAUCAGACUCUUACCUGCACAAUUCCCUGCUGCUAUUUCCAGCAUUGUUAAAUUCCAAACACCUGUAAAUAAAGCUUUCAAAACGGUUGCUUUCAGAGUCAACUUUUGGUAAUUAUAACAUUAUGUUUGUCCGUUUGCAUCUCUCAACUGCUCCAAAUAUUCCUGCUACUGUACCUUUGGAUUGCUCACUACCGUCACCUUUCCAAUUAGUCUGAAAUAUCCAUCAUCCAUCAUACUUUGCAUUUCAUUUGGGGGGAAAAGCCUGAAGGGGCAUGUAGUAUUACCAGCAAAGUGGUUGGUAAAGAUUGAGUUGGUGUGGCCCCACUUUUCAGUGGGUGCUACUGGUAGACGGAGACCAUUUCUACAGGGCUGGCCAGGGUAAGACUAUUAAUGAUGCUGCUGUGGUAUACAAAGUGAUGUCUUUAUUUUUGGGUGUCCAACCUCUGUAGAGCUCAUGGCCUACUCAUUCAUCCAUUCUCUUCUGCUUACCCUGUCAGGGUCGUCGGGGGGCGGGAGCCUAUCCCAGCUAACAUGGGGCUAGAGCAGGGGUGUCGAACUCCAGGCCUCGAGGGCCGGUGUCCUGCAGGUUUUAGAUAACACCCUGGGUCAACACACCUGAAUCAAAUGAUUAGUUCAUUACCAGGCUUCUGGAUAACUGCAAGACACGUUGAGGAGGUAAUUUAGCCAUUUGAAUCAGCUGUGUUGGAUAAAGGACACAUGUAAAACCUGCAGGACACCGGCCCUCGAGGCCUGGAGUUCAACACCUGUGGGCUAGAGGUUUAUGUAAUCUUAAUGAUUUAAAAAUAUUUAACAUUUCUGAAAGUAUUUUUUAUUUGCCAGUUUUUUAUUGUUAAGUUUCAUAAGGUAAUUACUAUAUAUAUGGUUGGUUAUGCUGUUAAAAAUGAUGUUAACAGAAGUCAAAAGUAAAUGACUCUGAAGGAAUGUUGCACUGGAAAAAGUCUAAUUAACUCUGAUUCAGUGAAUACUGUGUAGUAGUUCAGUUGGAGAACUUUUUAAAUCACAAACUCACAUACCCAUAUCUUUACCCACACCGAUAACAUUACAUAUCCUUUAGUUCCAGUAUAGACAUAUCUUAAUACUAUAUAUAAUAGAAUCCAAACGCAGGACUCUGCGAUGAAAGCAGUACGUUUAUUUACAGUGUAGUAAAUAAUUACACAACUACGAAUCCCCAUGCGCCCCAUUCCCGUUCCGUGUCUUCGCACUCACUGCCCUCUCAUUCUUGCACUCCUGCUGGAAAAUCCAGAGGCAGCCGUUAACACACACCUAAAUAGCGACAGACUAACACUCACUGACUUUGCUGAGAACACCGACGGGUAGUCACACAACGAUUCAGCGUCGAAGACAGCUCAGCCGCACUGCUUAGUAGCUCCCCCGACGAAGCUGAUCAGCUGCAGGUGUGUGUCAUCAUCGUUGGGUGUGGCCAGCCACCUGGCCUGGCAGGGCACACUCAUCAGGCCUGAUGGUGCAUGUAAACCAGCCUACACACACACACACACACACACACCUGCAAGCAGGAAAACAGGGACUGCAGCACAACACACACACACAUGCCAUCAA
ensembl:lncRNA